CCUACGGGAGGCAGCAGUGAGGAAUUUUCCGCAAUGGGCGAAAGCCUGACGGAGCAAUACCGCGUGAGGGAUGAAGGAUUUUGGUCUGUAAACCUCUUUUCUCAAGAAAGAAGUUCUGACGGUACUUGAGGAAUAAGCAUCGGCUAACUCCGUGCCAGCAGCCGCGGUAAUACGGGGGAUGCAAGCGUUAUCCGGAAUGAUUGGGCGUAAAGCGCCUGUAGGUUGUUUAUUAAGUCCGUUGUUAAAGCCUAGGGCUCAACCCUAGAAAAGCAAUGGAAACUAGUAGACUAGAGUAUGGCAGGGGUAGAGGGAAUUUCUAGUGUAGCGGUGAAAUGUGUAGAUAUUAGAAAGAACACCGGUGGCGAAAGCGCUCUACUGGACCAUUACUGACACUCAGAGGCGAAAGCUAGGGUAGCAAAAGGGAUUAGAUACCCCUGUAGUCCUAGCCGUAAACGAUGGAUACUAGAUGUUGUGNAUAUGUACAGUAUACGUAGUACUAACGUACGUUAAGUUACUACCGUCCGUCGGGUAGGUACGUCGUCGCGAAGGUAGGAACGUACAAUAGUAAGUUAGUACGGCGUGAGACGUCGCCGAACGGACGACCGACGAGGGAGGUAGG
rnacentral:rRNA from 1 species